rnacentral:rRNA from 1 species
CAGUCGUACCUUCGGGUAAUCAGCCUUUCGGGUGCGAUUCUGUGGAGUGUGAGGAGUUAAACGCCUUCAUGCCUGCAUAUUCGUGCACUUUGGGUGUAUUUGCCCGUGUGGUAAGUUAACAUCAAUUUUGGUUAUCAUAAAAUGGCUGGAGGAAUGUAGCUUCGAUCUCGUAUUGAAGUGUUAUAGCCUUCGGUAGAUGUGAUGACCGGGAUUGAGGAUUGCAACGAAUACCCUUUGGGCUAUCCUGCCGAUUCCCGAAUCUUGCUCUGGGGGCCAAAGCCUGGUUUACGGUAUUCAAAUUCAAUGUCCAACAGGUUAAAACGGUUAAA